rnacentral:rRNA from 1 species
CCUACGGGAGGCAGCAGUGGGGAAUUUUGGACAAUGGACGCAAGUCUGAUCCAGCCAUGCCGCGUGCGGGAAGAAGGCCUUCGGGUUGUAAACCGCUUUUGUCAGGGAAGAAAAGGUUCUGGUUAAUACCUGGGACUCAUGACGGUACCUGAAGAAUAAGCACCGGCUAACUACGUGCCAGCAGCCGCGGUAAUACGUAGGGUGCAAGCGUUAAUCGGAAUUACUGGGCGUAAAGCGUGCGCAGGCGGUUAUGCAAGACAGAGGUGAAAUCCCCGGGCUCAACCUGGGAACUGCCUUUGUGACUGCAUAGCUAGAGUACGGUAGAGGGGGAUGGAAUUCCGCGUGUAGCAGUGAAAUGCGUAGAUAUGCGGAGGAACACCGAUGGCGAAGGCAAAUCCCCUGGACCUGUACUGACGCUCAUGCACGAAAGCGUGGGGAGCAAACAGGAUUAGAUACCCUGGUAGUCCACGCCCUAAACGAUGUCAACUGGUUGUUGGGAGGGUUUCUUCUCAGUAACGUAGCUAACGCGUGAAGUUGACCGCCUGGGGAGUACGGCCGCAAGGUUGAAAACUUAAAGGAAUUAGACGG